rnacentral:rRNA from 1 species
CCUACGGGUGGCUGCAGUGGGGAAUUUUGGACAAUGGGGGCAACCCUGAUCCAGCCAUGCCGCGUGAGUGAAGAAGGCCUUCGGGUUGUAAAGCUCUUUCGGCCGGGAAGAAAUCGUGUGGGCUAAUACCCUGCAUGGAUGACGGUACCGGAAUAAGAAGCACCGGCUAACUACGUGCCAGCAGCCGCGGUAAUCCGUAGGGUGCGAGCGUUAAUCGGAAUUACUGGGCGUAAAGCGUGCGCAGGCGGUUGUGUAAGACAGGCGUGAAAUCCCCGGGCUCAACCGGGGAACUGCGCUUGUGACGGCAAGGCUAGAGUAUGGCAGAGGGGGGUGGAAUUCCACGUGUAGCAGUGAAAUGCGUAGAGAUGUGGAGGAACACCGAUGGCGAAGGCAGCCCCCUGGGCCAAUACUGACGCUCAUGCACGAAAGCGUGGGUAGCAAACAGGAUUAGAUACCCCGGUAGUC